rnacentral:rRNA from 1 species
CUCUAGAGAUAGAGCCUUCCCCUUCGGGGGACAAAGUGACAGGUGGUGCAUGGUUGUCGUCAGCUCGUGUCGUGAGAUGUUGGGUUAAGUCCCGCAACGAGCGCAACCCUUAAGCUUAGUUGCCAGCAUUAAGUUGGGCACUCUAAGUUGACUGCCGGUGACAAACCGGAGGAAGGUGGGGAUGACGUCAAAUCAUCAUGCCCCUUAUGAUUUGGGCUACACACGUGCUACAAUGGACAAUACAAAGGGCAGCUAAACCGCGAGGUCAUGCAAAUCCCAUAAAGUUGUUCUCAGUUCGGAUUGUAGUCUGCAACUCGACUACAUGAAGCUGGAAUCGCUAGUAAUCGUAGAUCAGCAUGCUACGGUGAAUACGUUCCCGGGUCUUGUACACACCGCCCGUCACACCACGAGAGUUUGUAACACCCGAAGCCGGUGGAGUAACCAUUUAUGGAGCUAGCCGUCGAAGGUGGGACAAAUGAUUGGGGUGAAGUCGUAACAAGGUAGCCGUAUCGGAAGGUGCGGC